GGUUCUAUGGUGUAGCGGUUAGCACUCAAGACUCUGAAUCUUGCGACCCGAGUUCGAUUCUCGGUAGGACCU